CUACAGGCUUAACACAUGCAAGUCGAGGGGCAGCAUGGUCUUAGCUUGCUAAGGCCGAUGGCGACCGGCGCACGGGUGAGUAACACGUAUCCAACCUGCCGUCUACUCUUGGACAGCCUUCUGAGAGGAAGAUUAAUACAAGAUGGCAUCAUGAGUCCGCAUGUUCACAUGAUUAAAGGUAUUCCGGUAGACGAUGGGGAUGCGUUCCAUUAGAUAGUAGGCGGGGUAACGGCCCACCUAGUCUUCGAUGGAUAGGGGUUCUGAGAGGAAGGUCCCCCACAUUGGAACUGAGACACGGUCCAAACUCCUACGGGAGGCAGCAGUGAGGAAUAUUGGUCAAUGGGCGAGAGCCUGAACCAGCCAAGUAGCGUGAAGGAUGACUGCCCUAUGGGUUGUAAACUUCUUUUAUAAAGGAAUAAAGUCGGGUAUGGAUACCCGUUUGCAUGUACUUUAUGAAUAAGGAUCGGCUAACUCCGUGCCAGCAGCCGCGGUAAUACGGAGGAUCCGAGCGUUAUCCGGAUUUAUUGGGUUUAAAGGGAGCGUAGAUGGAUGUUUAAGUCAGUUGUGAAAGUUUGCGGCUCAACCGUAAAAUUGCAGUUGAUACUGGAUAUCUUGAGUGCAGUUGAGGCAGGCGGAAUUCGUGGUGUAGCGGUGAAAUGCUUAGAUAUCACGAAGAACUCCGAUUGCGAAGGCAGCCUGCUAAGCUGCAACUGACAUUGAGGCUCGAAAGUGUGGGUAUCAAACAGGAUUAGAUACCCUGGUAGUCCACACGGUAAACGAUGAAUACUCGCUGUUUGCGAUAUACAGCAAGCGGCCAAGCGAAAGCGUUAAGUAUUCCACCUGGGGAGUACGCCGGCAACGGUGAAACUCAAAGGAAUUGACGGGGGCCCGCACAAGCGGAGGAACAUGUGGUUUAAUUCGAUGAUACGCGAGGAACCUUACCCGGGCUUAAAUUGCAGAUGAAUUACGGUGAAAGCCGUAAGCCGCAAGGCAUCUGUGAAGGUGCUGCAUGGUUGUCGUCAGCUCGUGCCGUGAGGUGUCGGCUUAAGUGCCAUAACGAGCGCAACCCUUGUUGUCAGUUACUAACAGGUUCUGCUGAGGACUCUGACAAGACUGCCAUCGUAAGAUGUGAGGAAGGUGGGGAUGACGUCAAAUCAGCACGGCCCUUACGUCCGGGGCUACACACGUGUUACAAUGGGGGGUACAGAGGGCCGCUACCACGCGAGUGGAUGCCAAUCCCCAAAACCUCUCUCAGUUCGGACUGGAGUCUGCAACCCGACUCCACGAAGCUGGAUUCGCUAGUAAUCGCGCAUCAGCCACGGCGCGGUGAAUACGUUCCCGGGCCUUGUACACACCGCCCGUCAAGCCAUGGGAGCCGGGGGUACCUGAAGUGCGUAACCGCGAGGAGCGCCCUAGGGUAAAACUGGUGACUGGGGCU
rnacentral:rRNA from 1 species